rnacentral:rRNA from 1 species
AUUGAACGCUGGCGGCAGGCUUAACACAUGCAAGUCGAGCGGGGUGAGGUGCUUCGGUACUGAUCCUAGCGGCGGACGGGUGAGUAAUGCUUAGGAAUCUGCCAUUUAGUGGGGGACAACAUUCCGAAAGGAAUGCUAAUACCGCAUACGUCCUACGGGAGAAAGCAGGGGAUCUUCGGACCUUGCGCUAAAUGAUGAGCCUAAGUCGGAUUAGCUAGUUGGUGGGGUAAAGGCCUACCAAGGCGACGAUCUGUAGCGGGUCUGAGAGGAUGAUCCGCCACACUGGGACUGAGACACGGCCCAGACUCCUACGGGAGGCAGCAGUGGGGAAUAUUGGACAAUGGGCGGAAGCCUGAUCCAGCCAUGCCGCGUGUGUGAAGAAGGCCUUUUGGUUGUAAAGCACUUUAAGCGAGGAGGAGGCUACCUGGAUUAAUACUCUAGGAUAGUGGACGUUACUCGCAGAAUAAGCACCGGCUAACUCUGUGCCAGCAGCCGCAGUAG